rnacentral:rRNA from 2 species
UGAGGAAUAUUGGUCAAUGGGCGCAAGCCUGAACCAGCCAUCCCGCGUGCAGGAAGACGGCGCUAUGCGUUGUAAACUGCUUUUCCAGGGAGAGAAACUUGCGCACGUGUUGCGCAAUUGACGGUACCCUGGGAAUAAGCAUCGGCUAACUCCGUGCCAGCAGCCGCGGUAAUACGGAGGAUGCGAGCGUUAUCCGGAUUCAUUGGGUUUAAAGGGUGCGUAGGCGGACUAUUAAGUCAGUGGUGAAAUCCUGCAGCUUAACUGCAGAACUGCCAUUGAUACUGAUAGCCUUGAGUUUGGUUAAGGUAGGCGGAAUGUGUAAUGUAGCGGUGAAAUGCUUAGAUAUUACACAGAACACCAAUUGCGUAGGCAGCUUACUGAGCCGACACUGACGCUGAGGCACGAAAGCGUGGGGAUCGAACAGG